rnacentral:rRNA from 1 species
UACGUAGGGUGCGAGCGUUGUCCGGAAUUAUUGGGCGUAAAGAGCUUGUAGGCGGUUUGUCGCGUCUGCUGUGAAAAUCCGGGGCUCAACCCCGGGCCUGCAGUGGGUACGGGCAGACUAGAGUGCGGUAGGGGAGACUGGAACUCCUGGUGUAGCGGUGAAAUGCGCAGAUAUCAGGAGGAACACCGGUGGCGAAGGCGGGUCUCUGGGCCGUAACUGACGCUGAGGAGCGAAAGCGUGGGGAGCGAACAGG